GACUUCCACUCGUUUUACCAGCAACAUCUAUAUUCCUCUGUUAUUAAAAGCUUUCAUGCUGGCUCAAAUCAUGAUGUCUGAGGGUUCCAACUGUUCCACAUUCUCACCAACACUUGGUGUACACUUCGCUAUAAAGUGAUUGGCUUCUGGUCCCCUUCCUUCAUCUUGAAAGCUAUCGAUGGGUUCUUUAUUUUCCUGGGAGCAGAGGGCAUCAGCUAUUGGAAAUGAACCAUUCCCCACAGUCAGCCAUGACAUCACGUCCACUAAGCAGGCCCGGGAGCAGACAGAGGCAUCUUGUUGAUCAGAUGAUGGGUGUACACCAGGCGAAACCAGCUCUAAGGCUGGAGCAGACACAGACAUUUAUUACCACAGAUAUGUUUUUAUUGCAUUAAGAGGGAGCACUUUAGAAGGAAGACUCUAGGAGUAAAAGGAUUAAGUCAUUUUGAAACAUUUUUCUUCUGUCAAGUGAGCAAAUGAAACAUCAGAGGGGCCAUCUGAGACUGAUUCACCCAGGCCUGUGGAAUGGCAGCUUCCGAAGGUGAAGAAAAGUGCAUAUAGGCAGUUGCCAAGAAAAGCCUCUGUGUGUAGGAGUC